rnacentral:tmRNA from 1 species
GGGGGCGCCAUGGCUUCGACUGGAUGUUGGCAAGGAUGGCUGCACGCGGAGGUUGAUCGGUUGGCCUCCUAAAAAGCCGAUCAAAAACAAUAAAUGCAGACUCUAACGAGCUCGCACUUGCUGCUUAAUUGACAGCAUCGGCCGCCCUGGAACGCCUGCUACCGGGGCCGCCGCUAAACAGCAGGCUGGCCGCAGCGCCGGGGGACCGGGCAACGCGGCGAGAUUCAACAGGUCCAUCGGAUGACCGGACGGGUCGGGCGAGGCCCGGACAUCUUAAACUAGAAACGCUCGACUAAUCGUGUAGACGCUUUCCCGAAAGGCAUCCAGGACAGGGGUUCGAUUCCCCUCGCCUCCACCA